GUUUUUGGCCAUACCACCCUGAACAUGCCCAAUCUCAGAAGCUAAGCAGGCUUAGGCCUGGCUAGUACUUGGAUGGGAGAUGACCUCGGAGUAUUAGGUGCUAUAGGCU
rnacentral:rRNA from 1 species